rnacentral:piRNA from 1 species
ACCAUCCCUUCUGGCUGAAGGAUCCCUACUU